rnacentral:rRNA from 1 species
AACGAACGCUGGCGGCAUGCCUAACACAUGCAAGUCGAACGAGACCUUCGGGUCUAGUGGCGCACGGGUGCGUAACGCGUGGGAAUCUGCCCUUGGGUUCGGAAUAACAGUUGGAAACGACUGCUAAUACCGGAUGAUGUCUUCGGACCAAAGAUUUAUCGCCCAGGGAUGAGCCCGCGUAGGAUUAGCUUGUUGGUGAGGUAAAGGCUCGCCAAGGCGACGAUCCUUAGCUGGUCUGAGAGGAUGAUCAGCCACACUGGGACUGAGACACGGCCCAGACUCCUACGGGAGGCAGCAGUGGGGAAUAUUGGACAAUGGGCGAAAGCCUGAUCCAGCAAUGCCGCGUGAGUGAUGAAGGCCUUAGGGUUGUAAAGCUCUUUUACCCGGGAUGAUAAUGACAGUAUCGGGAGAAUAAGCCCCGGCUAACUCCGUGCCAGCAGCCGCAGUAAUAC